CACUCUGAUGCAGCCAUGCCGCGUGCAGGAAGACGGCCCUAUGGGUUGUAAACUGCUUUUAUAUGAGGAAGAAACCUUUUACGUCCGAAGCUGACGGUACUAUACGAAUAAGGACCGGCUAACUCCGUGCCAGCAGCCGCGGUAAU
rnacentral:rRNA from 1 species